UUCCUCUACAUGUGACUUGAAAUAGGUGUCGCCUAUUCUGGGUGGAGGAGCACAAUGCUCGUGUGCUUCAUUCUUUCUUCUCCAUUUUGUUUUUUUCUAUCUGUUAGGAAAAGUGACUGCUGAGUCGCAAUCACUUGGGACUAACUCCCUUAGAUUAUAGUUUAUGUAUAGAUAUAGAUAUACUUUUGUAACUUAAGCCUGCCUUCAGGAAUCUAAUUGUGAACUGAAUGAAAAUGAAUAAACUACCUGUAUAUUGAUUUUAAUAAGAUUGUCGUGUCUACACUUUUAAAGAGGGAUAACAAGGGAUCUUAUCAGGAAUCUUAAAUAGUGAGGCUCAGAUGAACCUGCAACAAGCGUACAGCAAGUUGUUAACGCAAGUUAGUAUGGAUAUCAUCAAAUAAUAUAUCCUCUCCUGCCUUUCUAAACAUUCCCACAGGUCAAUCGCUAGCUAGAGAUCUGGCCCUCCAGAUGUUGCUGAAUUACAACCCCUAUCAGGCUCAGCAAUCGUCAUCUAUGGCUAUGAAGGAAGGGGGAUGCUGGCAUUGAGAAGAAGUUGAAGGCAAGGAAACUACAACUUGCUUUGGCUUCUGUGCUCCUCAAGAAGUUGAACGUCCAAACCUGGUCAGGAUGGACGGACGAAGAUGGGCAGCUGACCUGCUCAAGCUGUCUCCUGCAUCCCUCCCUACAACCUCUGAUCAUCCCCUCCCGGGACCCUCAGAGAAAUCUGGUGAGGAAGAGGACGGUCAGAAUUCUAUGGAGCCAUCUGUGAAUUCAUUGGGAAGAACAAAGAAACAAUUUAAAUGCAGGGAAUGUGGAAUGUGCUUUAGUCACUGUGGAAGAAUGAGGAUACACCAACAAACUCACACAGGAGAGAAACCAUUUGAAUACAUGGAGUGUGGAAAGAGCUACAGUUGUAGUCAAACACUUGGAAUACAUCAACGAAAUCAAAUGAGGUAGAAACAGUUUAAAUGUAUUGAAUGUGGAAAGAGCUUCAGUGAAAGUAGAAACCUUAGAAUACAUCAACGAACUCAC